rnacentral:rRNA from 1 species
CUACCGGGGUAUCUAAUUCUGUUUGCUCCCCACGCUUUCGUGUAUGAGCGUCAAUCUUGACCCAGGGGGCUGCCUUCGCCAUCGGUGUUCCUCCACAUGUCUACGCAUUUCACUGCUACACGUGGAAUUCUACCCCCCUCUGCCAGAUUCUAGCCUUGCAGUUUCCAAUGCAAUUCCCAGGUUGAGCCCGGGGAUUUCACAUCAGACUUACAAAACCGCCUGCGCACGCUUUACGCCCAGUAAUUCCGAUUAACGCUUGCACCCUACGUAUUACCGCGGCUGCUGGCAC